UUGCUGGGUGGAUUAGUGGCGAACGGGUGAGUAACACGUGAGCAACCUGCCCCUGACUCUGGGAUAAGCGCUGGAAACGGCGUCUAAUACUGGAUAUGUCCCGUCACCGCAUGGUGUGCGGGUGGAAAGAUUUUUCGGUUGGGGAUGGGCUCGCGGCCUAUCAGCUUGUUGGUGAGGUAAUGGCUCACCAAGGCGUCGACGGGUAGCCGGCCUGAGAGGGUGACCGGCCACACUGGGACUGAGACACGGCCCAGACUCCUACGGGAGGCAGCAGUGGGGAAUAUUGCACAAUGGGCGGAAGCCUGAUGCAGCAACGCCGCGUGAGGGAUGACGGCCUUCGGGUUGUAAACCUCUUUUAGCAGGGAAGAAGCGAGAGUGACGGUACCUGCAGAAAAAGCACCGGCUAACUACGUGCCAGCAGCCGCGGUAAUACGUAGGGUGCAAGCGUUAUCCGGAAUUAUUGGGCGUAAAGAGCUCGUAGGCGGUCUGUCGCGUCUGCUGUGAAAUCCCGAGGCUCAACCUCGGGCUUGCAGUGGGUACGGGCAGACUAGAGUGCGGUAGGGGAGAUUGGAAUUCCUGGUGUAGCGGUGGAAUGCGCAGAUAUCAGGAGGAACACCGAUGGCGAAGGCAGAUCUCUGGGCCGUAACUGACGCUGAGGAGCGAAAGGGUGGGGAGCAAACAGGCUUAGAUACCCUGGUAGUCCACCCCGUAAACGUUGGGAACUAGUUGUGGGGUCCUUUCCACGGAUUCCGUGACGCAGCUAACGCAUUAAGUUCCCCGCCUGGGGAGUACGGCCGCAAGGCUAAAACUCAAAGGAAUUGACGGGGACCCGCACAAGCGGCGGAGCAUGCGGAUUAAUUCGAUGCAACGCGAAGAACCUUACCAAGGCUUGACAUACACGAGAACGGGCCAGAAAUGGUCAACUCUUUGGACACUCGUGAACAGGUGGUGCAUGGUUGUCGUCAGCUCGUGUCGUGAGAUGUUGGGUUAAGUCCCGCAACGAGCGCAACCCUCGUUCUAUGUU
rnacentral:rRNA from 1 species